rnacentral:rRNA from 1 species
CCUACGGGGGGCAGCAGUGAGGAAUAUUGGUCAAUGGGAGAGAGCCUGAACCAGCCAAGCCGCGUGAAGGAAGACGGCCCUAUGGGUUGUAAACCUCUUUUGUCGGAGAACAAAGCGCGGGACGUGUGCCUUUCUGCGUGUAUCCUAUGAAUAAGCAUCGGCUAACUCCGUGCCAGCAGCCGCGGUAAUACGGAGGAUCCGAGCGUUAUCCGGAUUUAUUGGGUUUAAAGGGUGCGUAGACGGGUCGUUAAGUCAGGCGGGAAAUUUGGGGGCUCAACCCUGGAGGGGCCGUUGAUACUGGCAGCCUUGAGUGGGGUUGAGGUAGGCGGAAUGCGUGGUGUAGCGGUGAAAUGCAUAGAUAUCGCGAAGAACUCCGAUUGCGAAGGCAGCGUACCAAAGUGAGACUGACGCUGAGGCACGAAAGCGUGGGGAUCGAACAGGAUUAGAUACCCCGGUAGUC